UACGUAGGGGGCAAGCGUUGUCCGGAAUCAUUGGGCGUAAAGAGCGUGUAGGCGGCUCGAUAAGUCUGCUGUGAAAGUCCAGGGCUCAACCCUGGAAGGCCGGUGGAAACUGUCGGGCUAGAGUCCGGAAGAGGCGAGUGGAAUUCCCGGUGUAGCGGUGAAAUGCGCAGAUAUCGGGAGGAACACCAAUGGCGAAGGCAGCUCGCUGGACGGUACUGACGCUGAGACGCGAAAGCGUGGGAU
rnacentral:rRNA from 1 species